rnacentral:rRNA from 1 species
GCGAAAAGAACCCCGGCGAGGGGAGUGAAAAAGAACCUGAAACCGUGUACGUACAAGCAGUGGGAGCACAGGUUUACCUGUGUGACUGCGUACCUUUUGUAUAAUGGGUCAGCGACUUAUAUUCUGUAGCAAGGUUAACCGAAUAGGGGAGCCGGAGGGAAACCGAGUCUUAAUUGGGCGUUAAGUUGCAGGGUAUAGACCCGAAACCCGGUGAUCUAGCCAUGGGCAGGUUGAAGGUUGGGUAACACUAACUGGAGGACCGAACCGACUAAUGUUGAAAAAUUAGCGGAUGACCUGUGGCUGGGGGUGAAAGGCCAAUCAAACCGGGAGAUAGCUGGUUCUCCCCGAAAGCUAUUUAGGUAGCGCCUCGUGAAUUCAUCUCCGGGGGUAGAGCACUGUUUCGGCUAGGGGGCCAUCCCGGCUUACCAACCCGAUGCAAACUGCGAAUACCGGAGAAUGUUAUCACGGGAGACACACGGCGGGUGCUAACGUCCGUCGUGAAGAGGGAAACAACCCAGACCGCCAGCUAAGGUCCCAAAGUCAUGGUUAAGUGGGAAACGAUGUGGGAAGGCCCAGACAGCCAGGAUGUUGGCUUAGAAGCAGCCAUCAUUUAAAGAAAGCGUAAUAGCUCACUGGUCGAGUCGGCCUGCGCGGAAGAUGUAACGGGGCUAAACCAUGCACCGAAGCUGCGGCAGCGACGCUUAUGCGUUGUUGGGUAGGGGAGCGUUCUGUAAGCCUGUGAAGGUGGCCUGUGAGGGUUGCUGGAGGUAUCAGAAGUGCGAAUGCUGACAUAAGUAACGAUAAAGCGGGUGAAAAGCCCGCUCGCCGGAAGACCAAGGGUUCCUGUCCAACGUUAAUCGGGGCAGGGUGAGUCGACCCCUAAGGCGAGGCCGAAAGGCGUAGUCGAUGGGAAACGGGUUAAUAUUCCCGUACUUGGUGUUACUGCGAAGGGGGGACGGAGAAGGCUAUGUUGGCCGGGCGACGGUUGUCCCGGUUUAAGCGUGUAGGUGUGUGUUCCAGGUAAAUCCGGUUCACUUUAACACUGAGGCGUGAUGACGAGGCACUACGGUGCUGAAGUAACAAAUGCCCUGCUUCCAGGAAAAGCCUCUAAGCAUCAGGUAACAUCAAAUCGUACCCCAAACCGACACAGGUGGUCAGGUAGAGAAUACCAAGGCGCUUGAGAGAACUCGGGUGAAGGAACUAGGCAAAAUGGUGCCGUAACUUCGGGAGAAGGCACGCUGACAC